AGCGAACGCUGGCGGCAGGCCUAACACAUGCAAGUCGAACGAACUCUUCGGAGUUAGUGGCGGACGGGUGAGUAACACGUGGGAACGUUCCUUUAGGUUCGGGAUAACUCAGGGAAACUUGUGCUAAUACCGAAUGUGCCCUUCGGGGGAAAGAUUUAUCGCCUUUGGAGCGGCCCGCGUCUGUUUAGCUAGUUGGGGAGGUAAAGGCGCACCAAGGCGACGAUCGGUAGCUGGGCUGAGAGGAUGAUCAGCCACAUUGGGACUGGGACACGGCCCAAACUCUUACGGGAGGCAGCAGUGGGGAAUCUUGCGAAAUGGGCGAAAGCCUGACGCAGCCAGGCCGCGUGAAUGAUGAAGGUCUUAGGAUUGUAAAAUUCUUUCACCGGGGACGAUAAUGACGGUACCCGGAGAAGAAGCCCCGGCUAACUUCGUG
rnacentral:rRNA from 1 species